UGGGGAAUAUUGCACAAUGGGCGCAAGCCUGAUGCAGCCAUGCCGCGUGUAUGAAGAAGGCCUUCGGGUUGUAAAGUACUUUCAGUCGGGAGGAAGGUGGUAAGGUUAAUAACCUUAUCAAUUGACGUUACCGACAGAAGAAGCACCGGCUAACUCCGUGCCAGCAGCCGCGGUAAUACGGAGGGUGCAAGCGUUAAUCGGAAUUACUGAGCGUAAAGCGCACGCAGGCGGUUGAUUGAGUCAGAUGUGAAAUCCCCGGGCUUAACCCGGGAAUUGCAUCUGAUACUGGUCAGCUAGAGUCUUGUAGAGGGGGGUAGAAUUCCAUGUGUAGCGGUGAAAUGCGUAGAGAUGUGGAGGAAUACCGGUGGCGAAGGCGGCCCCCUGGACAAAGACUGACGCUCAGGUGCGAAAGCGUGGGGAGCAAACAGG
rnacentral:rRNA from 1 species